UCUUCAUUCCACGUGCUCUCUCACCGGUCAGAGGGGCGAAAGAGUGUGUGUAAAAUGAAGAGA
rfam:Pristionchus pacificus strain PS312 contig826, whole genome shotgun sequence.